CUUAGAGUUUGAUCCUGGCUCAAGACGAACGCUGGCGGCGCGCCUAACACAUGCAAGUCGAACGAGAGAUGAGGAGCUUGCUCUUCAAAUCGAGUGGCGAACGGGUGAGUAACGCGUGAGGAACCUGCCUCAAAGAGGGGGACAACAGUUGGAAACGACUGCUAAUACCGCAUAAGCCCACGGCUCGGCAUCGAGCAGAGGGAAAAGGAGCAAUCCGCUUUGAGAUGGCCUCGCGUCCGAUUAGCUAGUUGGUGAGGUAACGGCCCACCAAGGCAACGAUCGGUAGCCGGACUGAGAGGUUGAACGGCCACAUUGGGACUGACACACGGCCCACACUCCUACGGGAGGCAGCAGUGGGGAAUAUUGCACGGUGGGGGAAACCCUGAUGCAGCGACGCCGCGUGGAGGAAGAAGGUCUUCGGAUUGUAAACUCCUGUUGUUGAGGAAGAUAAUGACGGUACUCAACAAGGAAGUGACGGCUAACUACGUGCCAGCAGCCGCGGUAAAACGUAGGUCACAAGCGUUGUCCGGAAUUACUGGGUGUAAAGGGAGCGCAGGCGGGAGAACAAGUUGGAAGUGAAAUCCAUGGGCUCAACCCAUGAACUACUUUCAAAACUGUUUUUCUUGAGUAGUGCAGAGGUAGGCGGAAUUCCCGGUGUAGCGGUGGAAUGCGUAGAUAUCGGGAGGAACACCAGUGGCGAAGGCGGCCUACUGGGCACCAACUGACGCUGAGGCUCGAAAGUGUGGGUAGCAAACAGGAUUAGAUACCCUGGUAGUCCACACCGUAAACG
rnacentral:rRNA from 1 species